CCAAACUCAAAACUUUGUGGAGAAAUUAGAAGAUGCUCUAAAGCAUCCACCCAGCUUUGAGUUCUGUAAAGUUGUAGCUGUUGGAUCCAAAUUUUGACAGCUUUUCUUCAAAUUUCCAUGGAAAGAAGAAGCUCCCAUUUUCCAUCACCGUUCUCUAUUUUCCUCCUCUCCUUCCUCUUCUUCUUCUUCUUCAUUUCAUGUAAUGCCUUAUCCCCAGAUCGCAAAUUCAACUCUCCCAGUUCUUAUCGUACCUUAUCGAGCUUACAGAGAAGGAGAGAUCAACAGAUCUCUAAUUGCGGCGAGAAAGUUUCGGCUUUACAGUGUUCCCAGACCCCCAAAUGCCGGUGGUGCCGUAGUGAUGUCAUCGACGAUACCUGCUUUACCAGAGCUGAGGCUUUGAGAUUGCCCCAACAGGUCUUUUCCUGCGAUUGAAUUUUCUGUAUCUCUAAUUUUUCUUCAGAUCUAUUGAUUUCCGGUUGUGGGUAAUGUGUUUACUUCAUAUACUUUGAUCUCCAUGUACAUGGCUGCUGAGUGGUUACUGGUUAGGUCUUUUCUUCUAGCGUUGGUUGGGACACUAGAAUUUUGAAAGAUCAAUACAAUGUAUUUGUUUGAGUUUAUUUUAAUCGAACUUGCGGAUUGGUUGAGUAAUAUGUAUCACCGAUUUCCUUACAGAAUGUAUGUGAAAAUUUGGAUCGCAUGCUAUUAUAUUUGUUCAUGAUGUUAUGUUAGUCUUCAAACGAGUUUUCUUUGCAGGUGAUUGAGGAGAUUUUGUGUUCAAGCUCCUGCAGUGUUAUUUCUUUCUUAAUCAAAAUUGAUUUCCACUUGUUGAGUUUUUCCAUAUGUCCACAAGUGAGGGGAGUGUUGCCUUGGAUGAUAUAAUAUUAAAUUUGCCUUUUCUAUAAGCUUAGCUUUUAGGUUUAUUGUUAAUUCAAGAUAUGUCUUAGUGUUUGAAUUUCAAACGAACAACUAAAUCCUGUUGAAGUGAAACAAUGCUUUUCUCAUGUACUACUGAAUUGUGGAAGUAAAAUACACCUUCUCGAGUCUUUAACUCUCAUCUUUCACAUUUAAAAACAAUCUCUAGUUUGAAGAGGCUAAUAUUUGGUUGGAUGGUUCAUUGGCAAAUAUCAAAAACUGGGAAUGCUAUAUAUUAGCUUGUGGAGAUAGAAAGAAAGAAAGCAGUGAUAAAAAAUGCAAAUGCAAAGAAUUGAUAAUGGGAUUGCAUAGUUAUUUGCUUAAGAAAGGCAUGGAGUUCGGGAAGAAAAGUUUUUUUUUUUCCUUCAGAUUCUUGCUUGUAAGAAACAUUUCUGGGUGGUGGGAUAUUACAAAGUGAAGAUUUCUGAAUUCACAUUUCUGAUCUUGUGAGAAAAAAUAUAUAUCUUAGGACUAUCAAGGAGCUCUGGAAGCCUUAGGGAUUCUAUUAAAGAUUGACAUCUGAUCUAUGCCUAAAUUUUUUCCAUUAAAAUCCGGGGUGUCACCUGGAUAAUCAUUUAGAGCAACAAGUGCUGCGACUAAACCUGCAUUGCUUGCUAUGCUUGGUUCAGUAAACCAAGGUUUUUCCCUAUCAUCUGAGAAAUGGUCAAACUUGUCUGGACCAGCCACCAUGGCUCCGGAAAGAAUAUUUGGAUUCGAAGCCUUUGAUAACAGCCAUCUAUCUCCUUCAGCACAUGAAUAGAAUUGACCAUCCCAAGGAAUUGAGGCAGCUCUGUGGUGGACGUGGGUGGGAAAAUUGUUGCCAUAGCCAACUACGUAGCUCAUUUUCAAUGGAUUAUCCCCGAGUAUGUAGUUAAGCUGAAAAUUUUGAAUACUAUUAAAUAUCUUACUUAAGGAUUGUUAAACUUCGGUUGAAAAUCUUUAUGUCAAUGUUUCUAACAAUUGUUUGGUUUUGUUUUCCAAUUAACAAGUGUGAAAACUUCGUUUGAAAACAUAAAGAUAAUAAUUCUCAAAAUACAGUUCAAUGAUUAGUUUUAUUUUUCUUAGAAUGUAGAGCAUUAUGUUUUUCCUUUACCAAACAAAAAGGUAAUUAAAAACGUUGUCUUAUUGCUCCCUGGAUCAUUCAACUAGAGGUGAUUUUUGGGGAAUGUUAUAAUGUUCUACAUUUUUCUGUUUUUCGAAAUGGAAGACAAAGAAAUGAUUCUUCAUACAGCACUUGCCUGAGAUUUGGAGAAGCUCCGCAACUUUUCCAAAGAAAAGCGAGGAUUGGCAAAAAUGCAACUCAUGUAAGAUGCUCCCAAAAGAUCAAGGUAAUCACUGUACAAUUUACUGAGAAAUGAUGCUGUUGCAGCAAAUUGGAGUGGUGCUUUAUCAUCAGGGCUUAGGAGGAUCAAUCCACCUACAUUAACAAUUGGAAGAUUAGCAAAUUACUGGAAACAAACUUACACAUAUUCUUGUUGUUGACAAUAAAAAUCAGUGGGGAUAGUAAGUCUGUGAUGCAUGGGAUCUGAAUGGAUGGUUUACUAGGUGUCCUGUUGAAGUGUUGAUCAAUGAGAUAAGAACACAUGAGGAUUUCUGUCAUGUUUGAUGAUACUCCCAAGGCAUAUUCAUAUGGAUAGCCAGUAUCAUGAAAGUAGAGAAGGCGUGUCAAUAAUACCUAUGGAAAAUGUAGUGAGCAUCAGUGGCAUAUGAAAGAUAUGAAGUGUUUCCAGUUGCAAAGAACAGCCAAGUUCCUGCCCAUAUCAAUUCAUCCGUGUAACUUGAUGAGUUGUAGAACUUUCUUGCUUCUCCUCCACAAGAAUCAACUGAGCUCAAGAUCUGAAGCCCGGGCAUCACAUGUUGAAACAGGUCUGCGGUACAUCAUGUCUUCUGGUCUUUGCCAGCAGUUGUCAUUAGUUUGAGCUUUACUCUCAUUACUGGAACUGCCAACCUAGGAUCACACAUUGGAGAUAGUGUUAACUGUUAAGUAAUAAAGAUGACAUGGAUUCAAUGUCGAGGUAAUUGCACUAAAAGUAUCUUGAUCGGGAGCUUAUAUGACUUACCUGAGAAUAUAUUAUGGUUUGAUCAGAAGUUGCAUUUGGGGCUACAAAAACUUUGAGCAAAUAUUCAGUUCCCCAUCUGAUGAUAUCCUUUACAUGAUCAAGCUCAUUCAUGUCUGCAUACUUUGGAUGAUACUCAAUCACACUCCAGCUUAAAAGAGUAAUGGUAUAAGCUGUAGGAAAAGUGAACUUCAUGUUGUUUCCAGAAUCAUAGAAACCACCGAUGAGACCAUCUGGUUUAUUGCUCGAAACCCCAUCUUUCAAGCCUGAAUCUCCCCGAAACUUGACUGGACUACUUUUCGGGUACCUACCAGCUGAGAAAAGCUUUUAUCAGUCGGCCAUGAAAAGUUCAUCAUAACAUUUUUAGUUAAGAAGGAUUUCUACAUUUUUGAGCAUCAAAAAACUUCAGUGCUUGAUUUACUGCAACUGUGUAAUUGUUUGAUGCUUCAUGAAGAUUAUGUUUGUGAGGCAAAAAUUGAAGGAGAAGUGUAAGUGCUAUGAUUAGCAGUAGCAGUAAAGCUGAAAUGUAAGAACAGCAUUUGAAACGUCUUUGAUUUGAUAUAACGAUCUUGAAGUCAAAGGACUUGGAGUAUGGAGAAGGAAUUGAAUUAUAUUCAGUAGAAGAUUUAGAAAAGACAUUGAAGUUAUGUCGUGUCAUGCUAAGAAAACGAUCUGCUUAAUGUUCUGUGUGGACAGAUCUCUCUGGUUGCAUCAUUAACUUUGAAGAGAAACCGUCUGUUUUGAGAACUUCGAAAGAAUCAAGGCGUUAUGGUUGAUAGAGGUUCUUGUAUCAUAGGAGGGGUGGAAGAAAAUUCCGUUGAAGAUGGACUUUGGAAGCUUAAACUGUCACUGAUUUCCAUGAAACUUGUAACGACCCAACUCUUUAUACUAAGCUGAGGUCGUUACUAAAAAGGAAACGAUGACAAGAGACACUUUUUGAAACGAGGGAAGAAUAAAUUUUCACUAAAAACGGAAUAUUAAAAACACUGAAACAUAAACGCGGAAGCAAAACUGAGUCCCCAUAUGGCAUGUCACGGAUCCUUCUCUGUCGCUCGCCAGCUUUCCUCUACCUUUACCUUCGCCUGAAAUGUUAAACAUAGAAAGAGUGAGUAUAAACAUAUACUCAGUAAGGGACCUACUACUAGUCCCGCUAGGUGUAUGUUAACUUCCCAUUAGAGUCCUGAAAAUGGUACCCAAUCUCUGGCACGUUCCCGAACACGUGCAACAUGCGCUCCCGUAGGAACGAAAAUCUGGUCUUCGGUGUCCCGAGGGAGCACCUAGGACAUGCUGGUCUGUAGUGAACCCGGGGGUAACACUAAGACAAUCGGGAUGCGAGGACCCCGUCGAAUCACUCGAAUCAUAUCUAUAUCCAUGCUAGACUGGCGUCCCGUCGAACCACACAGUCCUAAAUAGGUGGUGAUCCCGAAGGACACCCAUGCAGGUACGACUCUAAUAGACAAAGUUAACAGAACACCCUAUUCAUAGCAUGUAGCAUAACAUAACAUCAUAACAUGGCAUGAGUAUUAAUCUUAACGUCCUUAAUCAUGUGAUUAAUAUAUCAUGCAUUAACAAUCAUCAACAGUCAUCAACAACAUACUAUCGGUCAUUAACAUAACAUCAGUCAUCAUCAUUAAUCAUCAACUAUCAUCAUAAUCUCAGUAUAAUCAUUAUCAUCAAAUUAUGCAUCUUAGCUACCAUCAAUGCAUAAUCAUAAUUACAUGCGGUCUCUUGAAUUUAGUUCGAAGGUCUAGUAGGAGAAUCUCUUACCUGAAGAUUUUAGCCAAACAAAGGUACUCCCUAGUUGACAGUAAAAUUCUCCAAUUAACUUGAUCCUAAUCAUAAAAGGAACACUUAGUAUCUUAAUUAAUGAAAUUAGCAAUUGGCUAACAUCCAAAAAUCCUCCCAAAUUAAUUAACUUUCUAAAAAUUGGGGUUGAAACCAAUUCAACCUUGAUUGGGAAAAUCCAAGAUUUAGAUCUUAAAAAGUUUAGCCAAUUGAACCUUUAAAGAAACCUCAAAUAGAUCCAAAAUUAAAUUAAUAAAAUAUUAAUUUAAUUUUAUUUGCUUACCAAGGUUACUCAAAUGGAGGUCGAAAAAUCCUCUUAAUUCAUCACUUUAAAUCCUCAAGCUUCCAAAGAGACCAAUCUUAACUUUAACUGAGGCGGCGACAGCAGAGGGUUAUUUUAGAGAAGAAGAUAAAGAACCUUUUUCUUUUUCCUUUAAUUCCAUCUUAAGCAUUCCAAUGCUAUUU